rnacentral:rRNA from 1 species
AGCGGACGCUGGCGGCAGGCCUAACACAUGCAAGUCGAACGAAGUCUUCGGACUUAGUGGCGGACGGGUGAGUAACACGUGGGAACGUGCCUUUAGGUUCGGAAUAACUCAGGGAAACUUGUGCUAAUACCGAAUGUGCCCUUCGGGGGAAAGAUUUAUCGCCUUUAGAGCGGCCCGCGUCUGAUUAGCUAGUUGGUGAGGUAAAGGCUCACCAAGGCGACGAUCAGUAGCUGGUCUGAGAGGAUGAUCAGCCACAUUGGGACUGAGACACGGCCCAAACUCCUACGGGAGGCAGCAGUGGGGAAUCUUGCGCAAUGGGCGAAAGCCUGACGCAGCCAUGCCGCGUGAAUGAUGAAGGUCUUAGGAUUGUAAAAUUCUUUCACCGGGGACGAUAAUGACGGUACCCGGAGAAAAAGCCCCGGCUAACUUCGUGCCAGCCGCCGCCGUAAGAC